rnacentral:rRNA from 1 species
UACGUAGGGGGCAAGCGUUGUCCGGAAUUAUUGGGCGUAAAGAGCGUGUAGGCGGCUAGAUAGGUCCGUUGUGAAAACUCGAGCUCAACCUCGAGACGCCGGUGGAAACCAUCUAGCUAGAGUCCGGAAGAGGAGAGUGGAAUUCCUGGUGUAGCGGUGAAAUGACGCAGAUAUCAGGAAGAACACCCGUGGCGAAGGCGGCUCUCUGGUACGUGACUGACGCUGAGACGCGAAAGCGUGGGGAGCGAACAGG